UACGUAGGGUGCAAGCGUUAAUCGGAAUUACUGGGCGUAAAGCGUGCGCAGGCGGUGAUGUAAGACAGUUGUGAAAUCCCCGGGCUCAACCUGGGAACUGCAUCUGUGACUGCAUCGCUGGAGUGCGGCAGAGGGGGAUGGAAUUCCGCGUGUAGCAGUGAAAUGCGUAGAUAUGCGGAGGAACACCGAUGGCGAAGGCAUCCCUGGCCUGCACUGACGCUCAGUGCACGAA
rnacentral:rRNA from 1 species